AGUCGAGAAUCUUCGGCAAUGGGGGAAACCCUGACCGAGCGACGCCGCGUGUGGGAUGAAGGUCUUCGGAUUGUAAACCACUGUCAGAGGGGAUGAAAUCACGAUGGGUUCUCCCAGCGUGUUGACAGAGCCUCAGAGGAAGCGCGGGCUAAGUUCGUGCCAGCAGCCGCGGUAAUACGAACUGCGCGAACGUUAUUCGGAAUCACUGGGCUUAAAGGGUGCGUAGGCGGCGCGACAAGUAGGGUGUGAAAUUUUUCGGCUCAACCGGAAAACAGCGCUCUAAACUGUCACGCUGGAGUGAGCUAGGGGUGUGUGGAACUUCCGGUGGAGCGGUGAAAUGUGUUGAUAUCGGAAGGAACGCCGGUGGCGAAAGCGACACACUGGGGCUUAACUGACGCUGAGGCACGAAAGCCAGGGGAGUGAA
rnacentral:rRNA from 1 species